rnacentral:rRNA from 1 species
UACGGAGGAUCCAAGCGUUAUCCGGAAUCAUUGGGUUUAAAGGGUCCGUAGGCGGUUUAAUAAGUCAGUGGUGAAAGCCCAUCGCUCAACGGUGGAACGGCCAUUGAUACUGUUAAACUUGAAUUAUUAGGAAGUAACUAGAAUAUGUAGUGUAGCGGUGAAAUGCUUAGAGAUUACAUGGAAUACCAAUUGCGAAGGCAGGUUACUACUAAUGGAUUGACGCUGAUGGACGAAAGCGUGGGUAGCGAACAGGAUUAGAAACCCCCGUAGUCC